GCGAAGGUGGCGGAAUUGGUAGACGCGCUAGCUUCAGGUGUUAGUGUUCUUACGGACGUGGGGGUUCAAGUCCCCCCCUCCGCACCA
rnacentral:tRNA from 2 species